rnacentral:rRNA from 1 species
GACGAACGCUGGCGGUGUGCCUAAUACAUGCAAGUAGGACGCAGUUGCGAACGGGUGAGUAACGCGUAGGUAACUAACUAUGAGAGGGGGAUAACUAUUGGAAACGAUAGCUAAUACCGCCUACUAGUAGAUGGACCUGCGUUGUAUUAGCUAGUAGGUAGGGUAAUGGCCUACCUAGGCAACGAUACAUCGCCGACCUUGGAGGGUUGUCCGCCAACCCGGGACUGGGAAACGGCCCAGAACUCUACGGGAGGGAGCAGUAGGGAAAUUUCGGCAAUUGGGGGAAACCCGACCGAGGCACGCCGGGGGAGUUGAGAAAGGUUUUGGGUCGGUAAGCUCUGUUGUUAAGGAAGCGGUACUUAACCAGAAAGGGACGGCUAACUACGUGCCAGCAGCCGCGGUAAUAC